GUAAUUUCCCUCUCACAGAGCUACAAUUCCCAGCAUCCUCAACAAACUGCAGUUUCCAGGAUUUCCUGGGAGAAGACAUGUACUCUAUAUUUCUGGUGUGAAUCUGCCCUGAGUUAUGAAUCGAGAAUUCACCAGUCUAGAUCUCAGAACUGCCAUGAACUUACCAAGCGGCCUUAGGAAAGAUGUUGUGUCUCAGCCUCAGUCCCCUCAUCUGGUGAAUAAUAAUAAUACAGACAUUAAUUGCAUGGUCUCUGUAAGGAUAACAGCUAGAUGAUGCAGGUGAAACACUUUGAAAUGCUUGAAAGCGCUAUACAAAUGUAUUCUUACUGCCUCUUGGGGGCCUACUUGAAAAAUGUGUGUCACGUUUGUCUUUUGGAAACCUGCUCCCUUAGAUCAUAAUCAAAGCAAUGUUCAAAUCCCUUUUCCGUGGAGGAUAUUUUUUAUAAGGCUUAACUACAUGAGAUGUUCCUUUUCCCUAGAAAUGGUUGUGGGGCUCUUCUCGUCUUGUUCUUAAUUGAAAGGUGCUUUGCUUUUCACAACCAAGUAUCUCAGAGCAUAUUCUUUAGAGCUUCUGCUCGGUAACUGUUUCCUCUGGGACCACGGAGCGUUACGAAGUGCUCGCCGGUACCCUUAAGGGAAUUAUGAUCAGAAGCAAUAAUGCAGCGAGGCUUCGGAAGGUGAAUGGAGGAGACAAGCAACUUUUGAAGAUGAACCCUGCAGGGUGUUCUCAAAAUCCAGAGCCGGCAGGUGAGAAUGGAUGGGAGACUUAUGUCUAGCCACACAUAAGAUCGCUUUAUUUUAUUCUUUAUUCAUGGCAUUCUUAUACCACCCAAUAACAGAAAGUUCCUUGGGCAGCUUGCAGGAAAUAAGCAUAGAAACAGUUUAAAUACAAAAGAAAACUUAAACUCAGGUGCAACAUAAAUUCAACCAGAGAAACAGAAAGCACCACAAACCCAAAUUUAAAAUAAAGGUUUAAAGAUUAAAUGAAAAGGUCUGCACCUGGCACUGAGAAGACUGUCUUAGAUAAACCUCUCUAGGGCUAUAACUUGGUGGUAGAUCAUCUGCUUUGCAUGUAGAAGGUACCCUGUUCAGUCCAUGGCAUCUGCAGCUAUAGCUGGUAAAGACUCCUGCCAGGAAUUCUGAAGAGCUGCUUGCCAGUCAGUGUAAACAAUUCUAAGCCAGAUAGAUCAAUGCUCUAACUCAGUAUAAGGCAGCUUACUAUGUUCCUGUGAAUAUAGGAAUUGGGAUGCCACUACUGAAAAGGCCCUGUCUGUGGUGGUUCCCUGCCCCCACUUCAUUUGGCAGUUUCUUUGUCUUACAUUCCUUUUAAUCACAGCCACUUCAUUUCUGCCAGAAUUGUUGACUUUACACAGGCAUCUGAAAUACGCCUAAAUUUACCCAGCUCAGCUCUGUUUUACCUUGAGUUAAUGCUAAGUUCAUCUUAACAGCUGAGAACCCCUUUUUAAAAAGCAAUUCUUUGCAAUUGCCUGUCAUCUUUAAGAAGAAAACGGUGAUUUGCAAUUAGUGAUUUUUAUGCUAACACCACAGCAUGUUGCAUAACUCUUCUCUACCUUAUGAACCAGUGAUUCUUGAUGAUGCUUUGCCAUGGAUUACAUCACCAGCAUUUUCUUUAGUGCAUUCUGAGAGUUUAAAAACCUCUCUUUCUUUUUUUGCAAGCUUUUAACAGGGCAAACACCAAGAGAUAUUGAUAUUCUCUUUUUAGAAAAAGUGCUUGCAUUAGCAAACAGCCCAUGUACGUAUGUUAACUGAUGAUGGAAGUAAUGUGAGCUUCAGCAUGGUCACUAAAAUGCUCUUCAGAUAAAUGCAUGGUGUGUCCCCAUUUCCUCCUGCUCUGGUCAGACACGCAUAAAUGAAGCUCCAGAAAUGAUCUCCCAUUUAGGUACUGGCCAUUCUGAGAGAUAGAAUGGAGUCAAACACUUUGAGAAUCUUCUUAAGAGCUAUAUAAUUUUUGGUGUUCUACUCAGCACCAGAAAGUUUUGAAUUCUCCCUGCUUCCCUGGAUCAUAAAUGCCAUGGUGGAAUCUCGUUCUGCAGCCUGAAAUCGAUGAUCAAUGCAAAUUAGACUUGAUCAUCUUAAAGUAGAGGUUGCCAGCAUGGUGCCUAUGUGCCCACCAAGGGAUUUUCCACAGGGUCUUUGCCCCCACAGCUGAAAUUAGGCCUGAAAAAAGCAUUCUGUUGUAGCCAGUACAAUAGGUUGUGUUGUCAACUUGAAUUCUGUAUGUGUGUGUGUUUGGUGCCAUUUACAAAUGUGUCCCCUGAUCCAAAAAGAUUGGUGACCCCAGUCUUAAGAUAUUGCUAUAGAAUGAGUUUUUGUGGCUGUUCUUUAGUGUCUGCUUCAAUGAAUAUCAUCUUCAAUGGGAAAUGGUCCCACGCAGAUGGAACCCCUGAGUGAGAUUUGCAUGCAUCUUGUAUUUUAUUUUCAUCUCUAAGUGCUUUUGAUCUCAGCCAUCUACCAUCAACAACUUUCCUGCUCCAACCAAACCUUGUAAAUAAAGUAUUGGUUGAGGGGGUGGCUCUUGUCUAUGGUCCAUUUUUCCUUUCAGCAAUGAUUACUGUUAGGAUAUCAAUGACAGCAUUGACAGUAUUGGGGUAAGAGGGUGGGAGGGAGAUCAAUGUUGCAUUGCUGAGACAAAUUGCAGUAGAUUGCUGACUCGUCCAUUCUUAACUGUCUUCUGCUUUUCCUAAUGGAGACACUGGACAGACUAGGAGUAGAAGCAUUAAAGUACAAUCAUAAUCAGUCAACAGUUCCUCCUGUUAACACACUUGAAAUCAGAAAAGACAGGAUUAAUUUUCUGCUUUCCCCCUCCACUCACUGGACUUUUAAAGCUUCCUUUAAAGAGGCUUUGCCAAAGUAAAGUGGCAUAUACAAGUUGUGUUGCUCUGCAAGAAGAAAGAAUAAAUGGCUUUUAUCCCGUCUAAUGCUGUAGCUGUCUGCUGAAAUGAAUAACUGUCUCAAAGAAAACAUGUUCCAUGCCCCUUGCCAAAAGCUAAAGCAUGCCCACUUCCAGAAACUUCUGGAAUUUUGGGGGGCAGCCUGCGAAGAGCUCUCUUUCCAAGUAAAUGGCCGACUCAUGAAGUUGCUUGCACAUUAUUUGCACUCUGACAUUGACUGUUAGGCGAGUAUGGAUUUUGUAGCCAAUGAGAGUAGGUUUCCUCGUUCUAAGUGUGAUGGACCAUAAUAAGCAAGUCAGGUAAGUUCUUGCGUGCAAGUAAUACAUUACCAAUCUGAGUUUGUUUUGCUUUUGUGGUGAUACACAGAUGAUGAAUAAUAUUUGGCAAAUCUGCAACACGCGCUGGCCCUCACGAGGGCCGGUACCUGAAAUUAGAUAAAAGCAGCACAAUGCAUGUAGCAGCAUGGGAGAAAGGAGGCUAAGCAAUAUGAUGAUGUGCGCUUUCUGUCUCUGCCAAAGGCUGUGAGCAAUCUCGCAGUCCAUAUCACUGCAUGAUGGACCAGUUUCAAACCCAAUAAACUAAACAAGAGGUAGGCAGCACUGAUCUGUAUCUGACCUAUCAAGGCUCUCUCUGGCUCAUGCAGCACAAAUCAUUUGAUGUAAUUUCAGUGUUUGUAUUGUUUUCUACCUCCCAAGAGGAAUCGCAAAGCUGCUAACAAUAGCGUACUGGAAAGAAUCCAGUAAUCAUAAAAAGCCACAACACAACUGGUAAAUGUAAUACAACAUUCAUAAAAUGUUAAGGCUUGGACCUUAAGUUGACAACUCCCCCUCCAGCUAUACCCCUCCACAUGCCAAUUACAAAGGCUGCCCAUUUUCUAGGAGUAGCUUUUCAGGGGGUUGUGGGAGGAAAGGAGAGGUGGGAAAGACAUUGUGUUCAUGGGACAAAAGGUGGGAUCUAAUCAAUUCCUACAAUAGAGGUAUUUCAAUAAAAUAAUAGGUUCUCCUGCAUCGUGGUGGGACUAGGUGGCCUUUGUAUCCUCCACGUCUCUGAUUCUAAUGGAACACAUUAUUUAUUCUUAAUUAUUGUUUACAUUUAUUAGUUGUUUGUUAACUUAGUCCUCAAGGGGACCAACUAUACUUAGUUAACAAAUUUGGAACACAAAUAAAACAUCAAAUCAGAUAUAAUGCAUUAGCCCCAAAAUGAUACAAAUACUUUAAAAGUACAACCAAUAGCUUCAGCCAAAUAUAUACACUCUUAUGCCCCCUACCUAGUUUACUGAGGCUAUAAUCCUAUAAACACUAAUUUAGAAGCCCCGGUCAUGUGCAUAGGGUUGCAUGAUUGCAUUGUGAGACUUUAAUCCUAUGCAAACUUCCCUGGGAAUAAGUCCCACGAGAAACAGUGGGAUCUACUGCCAAGUAAACAUGCAGAGGAACUGUUAAGAAGCUGCUUAGUUUCCCCCUUAAUCUCUAGAUUUCAGGAAUGGGAGAGGAGGGCUGGAGCAAGACUGGAUUCAAGCCAGAUGUUGAGUACCAUAGAGGCAGACAUUCAACAGAACUCUGGCUUGUCCUAGUACCUCCCACUCUGCUGGGAAGACAGAGAAUUGACAGAAUCUUGUGAAAGAGUCUUAUCCAGCUGUCAUCUGCAAUUUCUUCAGAUGUGCACAGUGGCACACUUUGACUCUGUGAAACUCUCUGUGCUGUUGAAGUUGACAGUUCUCUUGUUCCUAACUGAGCACAGGUUGGGUGGGGAUUAUGGAAGAGAGGGGGGGGCACGGCGAGUCCUUUCCUCGCCCCCAUGAUUCUCUUUGGAAAUGUGUUGCUAACUGACUUGAUUUUGCUGCUUUCUGUAAGUACAUUGCAGAAAUUGGUAAUCGUUCCUUUCAACCAAGUCAUACUCAAAGUUGACCCACUGAAAUAAUGGACUUAAAAUCUAUGGGCUUACUCUUGAGUGUUGCUUAGUUGGGUACAACCCAUAGAGUUCAGCAAAUCACAGAAUGCCAGAACUGCUUGUGAGACAUGGUUUAGACUUUUCCUGCUCAUCCCUUGGAUUUAUUCUCCCUCCCUAGGGAUUUGCUGAACCCGACAGCCAUCCAUGUUCCAGAUGAGUUUUGUAGGAUGGGAAUCUGCUUAUUUGAUCUGAGAGGCAAUGUGAGUUGAGAAGUGCCUUGCAGAUGGUUAGCAACUUUUAACACUCUCAGCAUUAAUCUUUCAACCUCCAUUUCAAAGUUUCCCUGACUUCUUGCAUCUCCCCCCUCAAAAAAAUACCCAACACCACCGAGUAAUUUGUCUUGCGGUGGUUGGCCUUGGAACACAACUCAUUCAUUUAGAUUUUUGUCUCUUCUGCUUUUAUCUCUGCUGAGAAAAAAUAGGAGUAAACCCACCCAGUGCUUUCCCACAAGGACUUGGAGGUGUGGUUUAAAAAGAACUACAGAGAAUGAACUUCUAUAUGGAGUUCAAAGGAAAUCUUAACAACAAGGCCUUUGUUUCAAUUUGCACCCUGAACUUUGGUAUAAAAUACUGUACUUCCUGGCUCUGUAGUUUUGGCGUUGGCCAUUAGUCACGUUUAAGUAGAUUAUGAGC